rnacentral:rRNA from 1 species
AGCGUAGACGGCAAGGCAAGUCUGAUGUGAAAACCCAGGGCUUAACCCUGGGACUGCAUUGGAAACUGUCUGGCUCGAGUGCCGGAGAGGUAAGCGGAAUUCCUAGUGUAGCGGUGAAAUGCGUAGAUAUUAGGAAGAACACCAGUGGCGAAGGCGGCCUACUGGACGGUAACUGACGUUGAGGCUCGAAAGCGUGGGAGCAAACA